rnacentral:sRNA from 1 species
AUGUUCAGGGCACGAGGCCUGGCACCAAAUAGGCCCUCGAUCAAGAAUAGUAAAACCUCGGAGAGAGUAGGAGCCUUGGUAUCCAGGUUUACCAAAUACCAAGGGGCUCCCACGACUCAAGUAUGAGGAGGGCGACCCAGGUACCACUUUCCUGGCUCCCUAGCCCAGCUGCUCAUGCUCCUCUUCCUCGUCUCCUCCCCCACUCUCAUCUCCUCAGCCCGCCCGGAACGCCCGCGGGCUAGGCCACAACGGCUCGGGAACCGCCGCCGGUAUCCGCGUCCGCAGCGCCGCCAGCCAGGCGGGAGCCGUGUGGGAUCCCAGCGCCCGCACUCCCGCCCCCGCCAAGGAGCCAGGAAUGGCACAACUAGAGAGGAGCGCCAUCUCUGGCUUCAGCUCUAAGUCCAGGCGAAACUCAUUCACAUAUGAUGUUAAGCGUGAAGUAUACAAUGAGGAGACCUUUCAACAGGAACACAAAAGGAAGGCCUCUACUUCUGGGAACAUGAACAUCAACAUCACCACCUUCAGACACCACGUCCAGUGCCGCUGUUCAUGGCACAGGUUCCUACGAUGCAUGCUUACAGUCUUUCCCUUCCUAGAAUGGAUGUGUAUGUAUCGAUUAAAGGAUUGGCUUCUGGGAGACUUACUUGCUGGUAUAAGUGUUGGCCUUGUGCAAGUUCCCCAAGGCCUGACACUUAGUUUGCUGGCAAGGCAACUGAUUCCUCCUCUCAACAUCGCUUAUGCAGCUUUCUGUUCUUCGGUAAUCUAUGUAAUUUUUGGAUCGUGUCAUCAAAUGUCCAUUGGUUCCUUCUUCCUGGUGAGUGCUCUGCUGAUCAACGUUCUGAAAGUGAGCCCAUUCAACAAUGGUCAACUGGUCAUGGGAUCUUUCGUCAAGAAUGAGUUUUCUGCCCCCUCCUACCUUAUGGGCUAUAAUAAAUCCUUGAGUGUGGUGGCAACCACAACUUUUCUGACUGGGAUUAUUCAGCUAAUAAUGGGCGUAUUGGGUUUGGGCUACAUUGCCACUUACCUUCCGGAGUCUGCAAUGAGUGCUUACCUGGCUGCUGUGGCACUUCAUAUCAUGCUGUCCCAGCUGACUUUCAUCUUCGGGAUUAUGAUUAGUUUCCAUGCCGGUCCCAUCUCCUUCUUCUAUGACAUAAUUAAUUACUGUGUAGCUCUCCCAAAAGCGAAUUCCACCAGCAUUCUACUAUUUCUAACUGUUGUUGUUGCUCUGCGAAUCAACAAAUGUAUCAGAAUUUCUUUCAAUCAGUAUCCCAUUGAGUUUCCCAUGGAAUUAUUUCUGAUUAUUGGCUUCACUGUGAUUGCAAACAAGAUAAGCAUGGCCACAGAAACCAGCCAGACGCUUAUUGACAUGAUUCCUUAUAGCUUUCUGUUUCCUGUAACACCAGAUUUCAGCCUUCUUCCCAAGAUAAUUUUACAAGCCUUCUCCUUAUCUUUGGUGAGCUCCUUUCUGCUCAUAUUUCUGGGCAAGAAGAUUGCCAGUCUUCACAAUUACAGUGUCAAUUCCAACCAGGAUUUAAUAGCCAUCGGCCUUUGCAAUGUCGUCAGUUCAUUUUUCAGAUCUUGUGUGUUUACUGGUGCUAUUGCUAGGACUAUUAUCCAGGAUAAAUCUGGAGGAAGACAACAGUUUGCAUCUCUGGUAGGCGCAGGUGUGAUGCUGCUCCUGAUGGUGAAGAUGGGACACUUUUUCUACACACUGCCAAAUGCUGUGCUGGCUGGUAUUAUUCUGAGCAACGUCAUUCCCUACCUUGAAACCAUUUCUAACCUACCCAGCCUGUGGAGGCAGGACCAAUAUGACUGUGCUCUUUGGAUGAUGACAUUCUCAUCUUCAAUUUUCCUGGGACUGGACAUUGGACUAAUUAUCUCGGUAGUUUCUGCUUUCUUCAUCACCACUGUUCGUUCACACAGGUACUUUGUCUCAGGUAAUAGGAGGUUAACAAGGCAAGGUAAGCCAACUCUGACCUAAAGGCAAGUGCAUUUCCUUUCAGAGCUAAGAUUCUUCUCCUGGGUCAAAUCCCUAACACCAACAUUUAUAGAAGCAUCAAUGAUUAUCGGGAGGUAAGAAUCCAAAUGGGUCCCAUUUCUCUGCCUAAGGGAUAGGGUGGGCCCCACCUCAUGCUUAGUUUUUCUACAAAAUCCCUUGCCAUUGUUUCCUGCACUGCAGAUACACAUUUACAAAGGAGGGGGAUGUGAUGUACAGUGGUAGAGAUGGGUUCUUUGUUUUUAUUUUUUUUUUUUGGAGACAGAGUCUUGCUCUGUCACCCAAGCUGGACAGUGCAGUGCAGUGGCUCGAUCUUGGCUUACUGCAACCUCCACCUGCCAGGUUCAAGCAAUUCUCCUGCCUCGGCCUCCCCAGUAGCUGGGAUUACAGGCGCGCCCCAUCAUACCCGGCUAAUUUUUUGUAUUUUAGUAGAGACAGGGUUUCACCAUGUUGCCCAGGCUUGGACUCCUGAGCUCAGGCAAUCUGCUUGCCUCAGCCUUCUAGAGUGCUAGGAUUACAGGCAUGACUUAACACGCCCAGCCAAGACGGGUUCUUAAGUAGCUAAAUUCUUAUAGUAUUGCAGCCAGUUAAAGAUCAUUUGUAAAUGUACUUUAAGGAGAGUUUGGCCAAGAAAAAGGAAAUGAAGGGAGAAAGAAGACAGCAGGAAAAGCAGAGGGUGAAAAUGGGAGGAAAUAAUUUUCUAGUUCUUGUCUCUAAUAAAGAAGAAUACAGGCCGGGUGUGUUGGCUCACACCUGUAAUUCCAGCACUUUGGGAGGCCAGGCAUUUGAGACCAGCGUGGCCAACAUGGUGAAACCCCGUAUCUACUAAAAAUACAAAAAUUAGCAGGGCGUGAUUGCAGGUGCCUGUAAUCCCAGCUACUCAAGAGGCUGAGGCAGGAGAACUGCUUGAACCCGAGAAGUGGAGGUUGCAGUGAGCCAAGAUCGCGCCAUUGCACUCCAGCCUGGGCGACAGAGUGAGACUCUGUCUC